ACUGAGAAUUUUGUUUAAAUAUUGCUGUAAGUUUAGCGUAAUUGUUUUUAAGUGACUGUUUAAAAUUCUUGGUUGUAGCUCUAAACUCUACUUCACAAGGGUGGAUGGGACAGAAGAUACAGAUGUUUUCCAAGACCAUGCAGAAACCAGAUCCUGCACUAGGGAGGAAGUGUCUGAGAUGAUUGGCUGGCAGCUGUGUUCUGAAAUGUCAUAUCCUGACCCAGCCAGUGGUUUGGUUUUCCCCCUUCCCGGACCUUUGCGAGUGGUUGUCGCACUAACUAAGCGGGACAGAGGCCUGCAGCAGUACGUUGUGGAAGCUGCAUAUAACUAUAUUCCUCAGGAGAACUCAUGGAUCCCAAAUGAAGCUGUCCUUCGCUUCUUUAUUGGGACUCCAAAGUCAGAUGUGAAAAGGGAUAUUGGUGUUGACCUAAAUUUUAGUGUCCCACAGAAAAAAUUCAGAAUUCAGUUUAUACAACCUAAGAAAAAAAUCGAGAUUGAUG
rnacentral:lncRNA from 1 species